CAGUCGCCGCGGUAAUACGUAGGGUGCAAGCGUUAAUCGGAAUUACUGGGCGUAAAGCGUGCGCAGGCGGUUUGUUAAGACAGAUGUGAAAUUCCCGGGCUCAACCUGGGAACUGCAUUUGUGACUGGCAAGCUAGAGUGUGGCAGAGGGGGGUGGAAUUCCGCGUGUAGCAGUGAAAUGCGUAGAUAUGCGGAGGAACACCGAUGGCGAAGGCAGCCCCCUGGGCCAACACUGACGCUCAUGCACGAAAGCGUGGGGAGCAAACAGGAUUAGAUACCCCCGUAGUCCCUGUCUCUUAUAC
rnacentral:rRNA from 1 species